rnacentral:rRNA from 1 species
AUGAACGCUAGCUACAGGCUUAACACAUGCAAGUCGAGGGGCAGCAUUUUAGUUUGCUUGCAAACUGAAGAUGGCGACCGGCGCACGGGUGAGUAACACGUAUCCAACCUGCCGAUAACUCCGGAAUAGCCUUUCGAAAGAAAGAUUAAUACCGGAUAGUAUACGAAUAUCGCAUGAUAUUUUUAUUAAAGAAUUUCGGUUAUCGAUGGGGAUGCGUUCCAUUAGUUUGUUGGCGGGGUAACGGCCCACCAAGACUACGAUGGAUAGGGGUUCUGAGAGGAAGGUCCCCCACAUUGGAACUGAGACACGGUCCAAACUCCUACGGGAGGCAGCAGUGAGGAAUAUUGGUCAAUGGGCGAGAGCCUGAACCAGCCAAGUAGCGUGAAGGAUGAAGGCUCUAUGGGUCGUAAACUUCUUUUAUAUGGGAAUAAAGUUUUCCACGUGUGGAAUUUUGUAUGUACCAUAUGAAUAAGGAUCGGCUAACUCCGUGCCAGCAGCCGCGGUAAUACGGAGGAUCCGAGCGUUAUCCGGAUUUAUUGGGUUUAAAGGGAGCGUAGGUGGAUUGUUAAGUCAGUUGUGAAAGUUUGCGGCUCAACCGUAAAAUUGCAGUUGAAACUGGGAGUCUUGAGUACAGUAGAGGUGGGCGGAAUUCGUGGUGUAGCGGUGAAAUGCUUAGAUAUCACGAAGAACUCCGAUUGCGAAGGCAGCUCACUAGACUGUCACUGACACUGAUGCUCGAAAGUGUGGGUAUCAAACAGGAUUAGAUACCCUGGUAGUCCACACAGUAAACGAUGAAUACUCGCUGUUUGCGAUAUACAGUAAGCGGCCAAGCGAAAGCAUUAAGUAUUCCACCUGGGGAGUACGCCGGCAACGGUGAAACUCAAAGGAAUUGACGGGGGCCCGCACAAGCGGAGGAACAUGUGGUUUAAUUCGAUGAUACGCGAGGAACCUUACCCGGGCUUAAAUUGCAACAGAAUAUAUUGGAAACAGUAUAGCCGUAAGGCUGUUGUGAAGGUGCUGCAUGGUUGUCGUCAGCUCGUGCCGUGAGGUGUCGGCUUAAGUGCCAUAACGAGCGCAACCCUUAUCUUUAGUUACUAACAGGUCAUGCUGAGGACUCUAGAGAGACUGCCGUCGUAAGAUGUGAGGAAGGUGGGGAUGACGUCAAAUCAGCACGGCCCUUACGUCCGGGGCUACACACGUGUUACAAUGGGGGGUACAGAAGGCGGCUACCUGGUGACAGGAUGCUAAUCCCAAAAACCUCUCUCAGUUCGGAUCGAAGUCUGCAACCCGACUUCGUGAAGCUGGAUUCGCUAGUAAUCGCGCAUCAGCCAUGGCGCGGUGAAUACGUUCCCGGGCCUUGUACACACCGCCCGUCAAGCCAUGAAAGCCGGGGGUACCUGAAGUACGUAACCGCAAGGAGCGUCCUAGGGUAAAACUGGUAAUUGGGGCU